AACUAGCCCCGAUGGGAGUUUUAUCCUUUUAUGGUUUCGUUUUUUAACCAGACCAUAAAAGAUUUAACGGACAGCGGGAUAAAUU
rnacentral:sRNA from 1 species